CCUCGCGCCUGCCCAUCUGCGGGCCCAGAAACUACGAUUCCCAGCUAUCCUCGCGUGCCCGCUCUGCAGAGAAGGUGCCCCGCCUCCUAGUGGGGGCUGUGGUAGGAGCAAGAAGGCGGGCAGCACGAUGUGGAUUUUGCCAGGAUGCGGGGGCGGAGAAAGUAUAAAUAACAACAGACCCCUUUGAAACUACGCAAAUAUUUUCCACACUAAACAACAGUAGCAGAUAUAUAGCCACAAAGCAGAAGCUUAAGAGAUCUUAGAAUGAUUCCUAAAAUAGAACUUUCAGUAAGAAGUACAAACACAGGCUAAGGCUCAGCACUACAGCUCCUUCCCUAGCGCUGGCAGCCACACAGCCCACAGAUGGAGGCCAGAGUAGCUCCUAGGGAUGCUGGCACAAGAGGAGGAUUCAGAAGUGACCUCAGACCAAGAAUGUGAACAGACCUCUGGCAUUCAAGAGCAAAACAAGAAUACAACGAGGCAGGGUGGAAGCACACCAACCAUCAAUAAUGCACUUGGCAAGUAGAAGCUGGAGGAUCAGAAGUUCAAGGGGACCGGCUCUGCUUAGUUAAGGGAGACCAACUAGUGAACCAACCAAAAACCUCACCAAAACAACACAGAGAGUGAGUUGAAACAACGGAAAAUGUUUUGCCCAUGUAAAAUGUUAAAAAAAAAAGAA